rnacentral:rRNA from 1 species
UAGCGAAGGGGGCUAGCGUUGUUCGGAUUGACUGGGCGUAAAGGGCUCGUAGGUGGCCAACUAAGUCAGACGUGAAAUCCCUCGGCUUAACCGGGGAACUGCGUCUGAUACUGGAUGGCUUGAGUUUGGGAGAGGGACGCGGAAUUCCAGGUGUAGCGGUGAAAUGCGCAGAUAUCAGGAAGAACACCCGUGGCGAAGGCGGUUCUCUGGGACGGUACUGACGCUGAGACGCGAAAGCGUGGGGAGCGAACAGG